rnacentral:rRNA from 1 species
GGUUAAGUGACUAAGCGUACACGGUGGAUGCCUAGGCAGUCAGAGGCGAUGAAGGGCGUGCUAAUCUGCGAAAAGCGUCGGUAAGGUGAUAUGAACCGUUACAACCGGCGAUACCCGAAUGGGGAAACCCAGUGUGUUUCGACACACUAUCAUGUCAUGAAUACAUAGUGGCAUGAGGCGAACCGGGGGAACUGAAACAUCUAAGUACCCCGAGGAAAAGAAAUCAACCGAGAUUCCCCCAGUAGCGGCGAGCGAACGGGGAGGAGCCCAGAACCUGAAUCGGCUUGUGUGUUAGUGGAAGCGUCUGGAAAGUCGCGCAGUAAAGGGUGAUAGCCCCGUACACUAAAAUGCACAGGUCGUGAGUUCGAUGAGUAGGGCGGGACACGUGACAUCCUGUCUGAAUAUGGGGGGACCAUCCUCCAAGGCUAAAUACUCCUGACUGACCGAUAGUGAACCAGUACCGUGAGGGAAAGGCGAAAAGAACCCCGGCGAGGGGAGUGAAAUAGAACCUGAAACCGUGUACGUACAAGCAGUGGGAGCACCUUCGUGGUGUGACUGCGUACCUUUUGUAUAAUGGGUCAGCGACUUAUAUUUUGUAGCAAGGUUAACCGUAUAGGGGAGCCGUAGGGAAACCGAGUCUUAACUGGGCGAAUAGUUGCAAGGUAUAGACCCGAAACCCGGUGAUCUAGCCAUGGGCAGGUUGAAGGUUGGGUAACACUAACUGGAGGACCGAACCGACUAAUGUUGAAAAAUUAGCGGAUGACUUGUGGCUGGGGGUGAAAGGCCAAUCAAACCGGGAGAUAGCUGGUUCUCCCCGAAAGCUAUUUAGGUAGCGCCUCGUGAACUCAUCUUCGGGGGUAGAGCACUGUUUCGGCUAGGGGGCCAUCCCGGCUUACCAAACCGAUGCAAACUCCGAAUACCGAAGAAUGUUAUCACGGGAGACACACGGCGGGUGCUAACGUCCGUCGUGAAGAGGGAAACAACCCAGACCGCCAGCUAAGGUCCCAAAGUCAUGGUUAAGUGGGAAACGAUGUGGGAAGGCAUAGACAGCCAGGAUGUUGGCUUAGAAGCAGCCAUCAUUUAAAGAAAGCGUAAUAGCUCACUGGUCGAGUCGGCCUGCGCGGAAGAUGUAACGGGGCUAAACCAUGCACCGAAGCUGCGGCAGCGACGCUUAUGCGUUGUUGGGUAGGGGAGCGUUCUGUAAGCCGUUGAAGGUGGCCUGUGAGGGUUGCUGGAGGUAUCAGAAGUGCGAAUGCUGACAUAAGUAACGAUAAAGCGGGUGAAAAGCCCGCUCGCCGGAAGACCAAGGGUUCCUGUCCAACGUUAAUCGGGGCAGGGUGAGUCGACCCCUAAGGCGAGGCUGAAAAGCGUAGUCGAUGGGAAACAGGUUAAUAUUCCUGUACUUGGUGUUACUGCGAAGGGGGGACGGAGAAGGCUAGGCUAGCCGGGCGACGGUUGUCCCGGUUUAAGCGUGUAGGGGGUGUGACCUGGUAAAUCCGGUUGCAUA